GAGUUUGAUCCUGGCUCAGGAUGAACGCUGGCGGCGUGCCUAACACAUGCAAGUCGAGCGCGGUUGUGCUUAGUAUUGAGUGUUUUAUUGAUAUAAAACAUUGAAUUCUAUGCACAACUGAGCGGCGGACGGGUGAGUAACGCGUGGGUAACCUGCCCUAUACACAUGGAUAACAUACUGAAAAGUUUACUAAUACAUGAUAAAAUAGUUUUUCGGCAUCGAAGAAUUAUCAAAGUGUUAGCGGUAUAGGAUGGACCCGCGUCUGAUUAGCUAGUUGGUGAGAUAACUGCCCACCAAGGCGACGAUCGGUAGCCGACCUGAGAGGGUGAUCGGCCACAUUGGAACUGAGACACGGUCCAAACUCCUACGGGAGGCAGCAGUGGGGAAUAUUGCACAAUGGGCGCAAGCCUGAUGCAGCAACGCCGCGUGAACGAUGAAGGUCUUCGGAUCGUAAAGUUCUGUUGCAGGGGAAGAUAGUGACGUACCCUGGAGGAGCCCCGCA
rnacentral:rRNA from 1 species